AGAUUGAACGCUGGCGGCAGGCCUAACACAUGCAAGUCGAGCGGUAGAGAGGUGCUUGCACCUCUUGAGAGCGGCGGACGGGUGAGUAAUGCCUAGGAAUCUGCCUAGUGGUGGGGGAUAACGUUCGGAAACGGACGCUAAUACCGCAUACGUCCUACGGGAGAAAGCGGGGGACCUUCGGGCCUCGCGCCAUUAGAUGAGCCUAGGUCGGAUUAGCUAGUUGGUGAGGUAAUGGCUCACCAAGGCGACGAUCCGUAACUGGUCUGAGAGGAUGAUCAGUCACACUGGAACUGAGACACGGUCCAGACUCCGUACGGGAGCAGCAGUGGGGAAUAGUUGG
rnacentral:rRNA from 1 species